AGAAUCAACGCUGGCGGCGUGCCUAACACAUGCAAGUCGCACGAGAAAGUGGAGCAAUCCAUGAGUAAAGUGGCGCACGGGUGAGUAACACGUGAAUUAUCUACCUCCGAGUGGGGAAUAACUGAGAGAAAUCUUAGCUAAUACCGCAUAACACUUACGAGUCAAAGCAGCAAUGCGCUUGGAGAGGAGUUCGCGGCCGAUUAGUUAGUUGGCGGGGUAAUGGCCCACCAAGACGAUGAUCGGUAUCCGGCCUGAGAGGGCGCACGGACACACUGGAACUGAAACACGGUCCAGACUCCUACGGGAGGCAGCAGUGGGGAAUUUUGCGCAAUGGGGAAACCCUGACGCAGCAACGCCGCGUGGAGGAUGAAGCCCCUUGGGGUGUAAACUCCUUUCGAUCGGGAAGAUAAUGACGGUACCGAUAUAAGAAGCCCCGGCUAACUUCGUGCCAGCAGCCGC
rnacentral:rRNA from 1 species